rnacentral:rRNA from 1 species
AUUGAACGCUGGCGGCAGGCUUAACACAUGCAAGUCGAGCGGAGCGAGGGUGCUUGCACCUUAGCUUAGCGGCGGACGGGUGAGCAAUGCUUAGGAAUCUGCCUAUUAGUGGGGGACAACAUUCCGAAAGGAAUGCUAAUACCGCAUACGCCCUACGGGGGAAAGCGGGGGAUCUUCGGACCUUGCGCUAAUAGAGGAGCCUAAGUCGGAUUAGCUAGUUGGUGGGGUAAAGGCCUACAAAGGCGACGCUCUGUAGCGGGUCUGAGAGGAUGAUCCGCCACACUGGGACUGAGACACGGCCCAGACUCCUACGGGAGGCAGCAGUGGGGCAUAUUGGACAAUGGGCGGAAGCCUGAUCCAGCCAUGCCGCGUGUGUGAAGAAGGCCUUUUGGUUGUAAAGCACUUUAAGCGAGGAGGAGGCUACUUAGAUUAAUACUCUGGGAUAGUGGACGUUACUCGCAGAAUAAGCACCGGCUAACUCUGUGCCAGCAGCCGCGGUAA